rnacentral:lncRNA from 1 species
GCUAUUUCGGCCUUUAUACAUACCUGCUUCUAAAUCAUAACAAUUUGGGAACGAUAUUAAGGUCUUAGGAUCAGACAAUGGAACUAAGGUGUUAUUUAAAUCUAAAACUUGUAUAUCCCUAAAGAAUGCAGCUUUUGCAAAACCUUCAUAAGGAAAAUGUCCACUACCCAUUCUGGUCGAAGUGUGAGACCCUGUUGACCUUCUAUUAGAUAUUAUUCCUCCAAAUUGAAUUUCAUCCGCAAGAUAGUAUAAGUGAGUAAACAAGGAGGAUGGCCAAUACCCAACAAGGGUUCCAUAAUCAUAAGUAAGCCACCAAUUCCUAGUUGUUGGAUCCUACAAAAAUAAUAAUCAAAGUUAACCUUCAAUUAAACUUUUUGUGUUGUGACAAAGUUACUCAAAGAUAUCAAAAACAAGAAAAUAAAGGUGUGAAUGUGGGGAGUGAAAUAUGCAAAAUAUUAGGAGUUUGUUAAAUAAAUAAAAAAUGAAGGGAUAAAAAAGAAGGUGAGAGGUGAAGAUUAGAAUAUAUUUACUAGAAAAAAGCACAUGAGAGCGGUGUUUAUUAAUGUAGUUAGAAAUAUAUGAUUGAAAAAAAAUGAUGUAUAACAAGAGAUGAUCAAUAAAAUGUAAAGAUAAUAAAUAAAAAAUAUGAUAAAUGAUGUGGUGAGAGAGAAAAGAACAAAAAAAAAAAACAUUGGAUCUGUAAGUUGAAUCUCCACCAAUUUUAUUGAUGAGAAACAAAUAUAAAAUUUUUGUAAGUUUUUUUUUAGUCUAAAUUUUUUUCUAUUUUAUUUGGAAUGCCAUUUUUUCAUCUUAAAUUUUAAAAAAAAUAAAGUAAAGAAAAAAUGAAAUUAGAAAAAGAAUCUCGAAAGAGGUGAAUUAUAAGGGGUUAUAAUUAACACUGUGUUAAUUAGCCAAAUAACAUCACCCAAGUUACUUAAGACUUGUUUUGUCUUACCUAUGGGAAAUGAGCUAUCAUAAUUUAAAGUUUGGUUGAGUGAAUGAUUGUUCCAACAAAUUUUCAAACUUGAAUAUUUCAUCGGUUUAUUUCCUUCUAAAACUCAUUAACUAUUUAUAUCAAAUUCACUAAAUCUGAAAUACUAUAAAGAAAAUUGUGCACUAUAUAGUGUUUCCCCUCCCCUUUUAUCUAUCAUUUAUUUUUAUUUUUCAAAAUAAAUUAUUAUGGUUUGGUUAGUAUUUUCUCCGAAUUUCUAGAGACUAGUUAAUUUGGUUAUUGGAGUUAAAAAAACUAAUCUAAGUUAUUUUUAAAUUUAUCCGUUCUCAAUCAUAUUAGUCACUCAAAGACAAUCUUAUAAACUAAAAUAAUCAAUGUCAAUGAAAUAUUUUCAAUUUCAAAAACAAUUUUAAUUAAUUUAAAAAAAAAAGUUAUCAACCAAAUUGACUCAUCUCAACAAUUUUUGAAGGCAAUAUUGAUUAUUCACACAUUACUAUUGAAAAACAAAAGCAGUAAAAAGAAAAAAAGAGAAACAUGGAAAAAUAUAUAUCUAUCAAAUUGUCCAUAAUCUUUUAAUUAAGGUCAAUUUGGUAGUCUGAGCAGAUAAUUACCUUCCAAAUCUUCAAAAUAAUGCCAAAUUGUGGUCCUUUAUAAGUAGAAGUUGGACCAAUUGCUCCUCCUAUUACAAUAUCUUUGUUAGUUUGAACGAAGCCCGAACAUAAUAAAUUGUAGCAUCCAGUCUUUCCAUAUCCAUCAUUCUGCAAUUAUUAAAAUAAAUAUUUUAUUUUAAUACUUCUAGUGUUCCACAUUCAUCGGUCUAUUUGCAAAAUAAUUUUUUUUUAAAAUAAUUGAGACUUUCUUUUUUUAAAAUGAUGUUAAUAUUAUUUUUUAAUAAUACUCUCGAAUUAAUAAUAUAUACUUCACUCUCAAUUCAAAAUAUCGUAUAUUUUGUGGAAAUAAUAAAUUUAUCAAUAUAUGAUAAAAUUAAUUUAUAAAAAUAAUAAAAUUAAUUUAAUAAAAGUAGCAUUUCUCUAUAUCUUUCAUUUAUAUAUAUUUUUUUAAUUUAUGUGAAAUAAUCAAAUAUAUCAAUUAUUGUAAAGUAAAAAGUACUACUUAAAAUUUUUUUUAAAUUUUCACAGUAAUUAAUUUUUUAAAAUUUAUUUAAAACAUAAAUCCAUUAAAUUUACUAUAUUAUUAUUUUCUUAAUAUCAAGAGUCCAACAACAUGCAUUAAAUGUUACAUAAAAAAAACUAAAUAAUUCAAUUGUCGUUCGUUGACUUAUAGUGACAUGCGGUUACCUUAAUUUGAGAUUUUUUUUUUACUAAAAAGAGUUUACUUUUCUACCUUAUUUACUUCAAUUAAUUUACUUACUGUCCAAUACAUAGAUAAUCUUGGGAGGUUGUCCCCGUAGAGUAAAGGCUCCACCUGCAAAAGAAAAUUACUUGAUUUAGUUUGAUAGGCUAAAAAUUAAAAUACAAAAUUAAGUACAUUGAUGAAAAUGAGAGGGAGAUGGUUGACACCAAAUUGAAUUCAUCUAAGAAGUUUUUGAAAAAUUAAUUGAUUUUAUACAUUAUUAAUAUAAAAUGAUUAUGGUUAACAUUAAUGUAAAUUUUGUAUAUCUUCAAUAAUGAUAAAAUUAUGACAUCAAUAAAAAUGUUGAAUUGAAUUAAUUCUCAUUAUCUUAAAAGUCUUUUACUAAAAAAUAAAUAAAAAUUGUACAAAAGAAAAUGAAUAACAUGCCUGCCAACCAACUUCAAUGGUGUUGCUCUCUUGACCAGCAUCACCAGCAGCGACCCAAAUUUUAGAGGCACUUACUUCAUUUUUAGUUUCCAGACGUGGAGCCCACAGAUUAAUGGCAGCCGUUGCUCCAAAGAACUCACCAGCACUCACAUAUUGUACUGCAUACUGUGUAAUGUGGAGCAAUAAGAAGUAAUAUGCUAACAUUUACAAUUAAAAACAACAAAAAUAAAAGUUUAUGUGAAAUUCUUUGUUUAUUCCUUAUUCUUGCAAUUGCUUACCUCAAAUUUUUCGUCGUUGGUUUCAAAAUCACUUGUUUUUUUUCCAAAUUCACUAAUAGAACUAGCUCUUAACAAAUCUUCUUCUUUUGUUCUUCUAAUUGGAAUGGUUCCAUCAGGACAUGAUUCUCCUGAUAAACGCCAUAAUUGAGAACUGUGAUUAAAAUUAUCAUCUUGGUAAUGCCCUUUUGGUAUUUCUGGAAUAUCCUGUAUAUAAAAAUAUUUGUGAAAAAUUUUAAAUUCUAAAUAUGAAUUAUAAAAGCUUUAUUAGCUUCAAAAUAUAGUUUUGAAUUUUUCUUGAUUCAAUUAACAAAAAAUAAGAAAUACCAUUUGUUUAUAUUCUUCUUUCAAUAAGGGAUUGUCAAAAGCCGGUUGAUUGUGAAACAUAACACAAUCUAUGAUAUCACCAUCAGGACUCUGCAAAAAAUAGCACAAAACACAAACAUAUAAGUUAGGCUCUAAGACUUACAUUGUUUGCUAAAGUAAUUGAAUGUUCUAAACAAUUCAAAAGUUUUGAUUGAAUUUCUGUCAUUUAUAAUUAAUAUUUUUGUUUGGAUAGAAUAAAUGCUGAUUUAUAUGAGGAUGAUUUUUAUGAGUUUCAAAAAUAUUUGUGUAAAAAUAUGAAGGAUUAUUAAUAGUGCUUUUAGUCUUGGUAAAAUCAAUAAUAUAAUUUUAAUCCUAUAAAAAAAUAAAUUUAAAUUUCAUCUUUAUAAUAUUAGAUUCUCCAUUUUUAUUUCCUCAUUCAAAUUUGUUAACUAAAUUUUCUGACAAGGCAUGCGACAAUUUAUUUAUUUUAAUCAACCUUGAUUUUAAAACAAUUAACACUAUUUUAAAAUUAUAAAAUUUAAAUUAAACAUCAAAAAGUCAUUAAUUAAAAAAUAUAAAUAAAAAAUAUUACUUUCUCUUUUUUCUUUCUCUUCCUCUUAUCAAACCCUAUACCCCUUCACUAUUAGAAAACAUCAUUUAGCUGUCAUAUUUAGCGUCGGCCACCGACACCGACGCUACUUAGCGUCCAUUUAGCGUCGGCUAUGCGCACGCUAAUGCACUAAGUCUGGUUUUUUGUUUUCAUUAAUUAUUAUAAUCACGUAAUUCUAAAAAGAUAAAAAAAUUGUUUGAAUGAUUGUGUUUUGAUUUUUAAUUUUUAAAAAUUAUUUUGUAUAUCAACUUAAAAAAACUGUUUUUUUAGAAUAAAAGUAAAAUAAAAAUUGUUUGAUAAUUUAUUUUUUUUAAAACCAACAAAUAAUAUAUAAAUGCAAUAUAUAUCGUACGAAUAAAAAAUAAAUAAAUUUUAAAAUUUAUGUAUGCGGUUUGGUUCAAUUCAGUUUGAUUUUGAAAAUAAAAUUCAAAAUUCGAUUCAAUCCGUGCGGGUUUCACAAAAUAACAUCUAAUAAUAUUUGAUUUUAUUCAAUUUUUAAUUUUUAGAUCAAUAUGUAGUUUUAUUUUAGAUUGAUUUAAAUACAAACACUUCUAUUUAUAUGUAUGAAUAAAGUAAUAAUUAAGAAAAUAAAAUAAAAUAUUACAAGAGUUUAAUUAUUGACCUAUCGAUAUAAAAAGUUUUACACCAUUAUUACAUCACAAUUAUUCGAGAGAAUGACUUUAGAGGUGGUUAUAAUUAAAAUAAAAAAUCUUUAAUGAUAUAACAAUUGUAAUUGAGAGAUAGUAUAUAAACUUUUAAUAAUAUAUAUGAAUUAAAUAAAUAUCACAAUGGCUGAAUAUUAUUAAAAAAAAAAAACAAUUUCUAUUAAAAAUAUUAUAUAUAAAAGAUGAUGAUGUGUAAUAUGAUUUAAGUAAAGAGAGGAGGUGUUGGUGCAAGCAUCGAGUACCCACCAAAUCAGUUUGCUUUAUUUAUUAUUUAUUAAAAUUUAAAAUUCUUUUAUUUAUUUAUUAAAUUAAUAUUAAGGAAAAUUGGUCAUUUUUCCUUGUUUUUUCUUUCAAAAGAGAUCGUAAAUGGAAAAAUGAAAAUCAGAACAAUAUAUAUAGUAGUUUUCAUUUUUCAAAAUAAUUGAUAAAUAUUAAAAAAUAAAUACACAACAUAACUUUGUCAAAGUUAAGUUAAAUAUGAGAUAAAUAUUUUUUUAAUAAAAAAAUAUAUUAUCAAUGAUAAAUAUAAAAAAUAUGAAACAAAUAUUUACUAUUUAUAUAUAAUAAAAUUAGUGACAAAUAUUUAUCAUUGAUAAAUAUUAAAAAAAACACAAGACGACCGUUUGAUUUUAAUAAACAUAAAAAAUAUUGAAUAAAUAUUUUUUAUGAAUAAAUAAAAUAAAUAUUUUUAUUUAAACAACACACAAAACACUAUAAAAUAUUGACGACCUGUCACUCGCAUGAUAUCACAUAUUUCUUUUGUUAGUAGAAAACUCAAAAUCAGAACCACUUCUGGUAAUUUUCAUUUUUCAAUUAUAAAAAGAACAAAUUUCAAAACAGUUUUAUGAUACAAUUUUUAGAAAGAUGUCAACCAAACAAAAUUUUAUAAUUAUUAAAUUUAUAAAAUGAGAACAAAUGUUUUUGAAAAGCUAAUCUAAGAGGCUCUAAAACGCUCUUCAACACUAAAACGCUCUUGAACACCACGAAAAGAACAAAAAAAAAAAUAAAAAACCAUAAGUUUCUUCAUCUUGUGUCGAAUUGGAUUCUCAACAAGGAUGCAACCACAAAUGCUUCACGUUUCUUUUAUUUGAUUAGAAAAAAAAUAAUAUCGUUUAAAUCUUUACCGCUAAAAAAGAAGAAAAAGAGUUUGUACGAUGGGUAUGAGUAUGUGUUCGGCUUAUUUAAAAUUUUCAAAAUUUAACUUUGACAAGUACUUCUUAAAAAUAAAAAUUUAGUAAAAAAUAAAAGUAUUUCAUUCAAAAAAAUCAUCAAAAAAUAGUUAUUAAAAUAAUAUAAUAUACAUCUAAAAAUUUAAAUUACCUUUAAAAAAUUUAUUAACGCAAUAUAUUUCUUCAUCCAUGCACAAUUUUAAAAAAAAAUUAUAAUUAAUUUUUACAUACCUGAAUCGUCUUGACAGCAGGCUUGUUGAUUUGUUGAAGACGGGUUGCUAUUGCCUUCUUCAACUUGUGAAACUUUUGCUCUUGUAGAAAAGUUUGAUUGACCAAUUGAUAGCUACUAAUUUUUGAAGAAUAAACAGGACAUACCAAAGAAACAAGGAGAAGAAAAUGUAAGAAGAGGAAAAUAAUUGGAGAGCUGAAAUUCAUGUUUGGUUUUGUAAGUGUGGGCAUGUCCAAGAAAUUAUAUAUAGAUGCUUAAGAUUAGAAGAAAAUGAUCGUAUGAAUUUUUUAAGUGACCACGUGUCAUUUAAGUUGACCAUCCAUAUAUGAUUAUGUAUAGUUAAAAUUUAAAAUAUUUUUUUUUAAUAUUUUAAAAUAUAGAAUUACUUAAUAUUUUAUAUUUAGAGUAGUUUUUGUAUAAAUAUAUUUAAAGUAAUAAUAAAAACAUUUCUGGUCAAACAAAACUUAUUUAAAACAUUUAAUGAAAUAUGUUACAAGCAUCUUAAUAAAUACUCCCUUCUAUAUAUAAGAAGAAAAAAUAAAAACCAUCAAUACCAAUGUACUCACUAAAUGUUAUAUAUUUAUAAUUUAUUUUAAAUAUAAUCUUAUAUUAAUUAUCUUGCAAAAUGCGUAAUCUAUUUAUGUGGAAUACACCAGUAUUUAUUAGAUAUUAAAUAGAGGAUAAAAAAGUAAAAUAAAUAAUUCAUACCAAAAAAAUUCCAAAAUUUCUCUCAUAUUAUCAGAAUGAGUAAUAUUUUGUUCUUAAAUUUAAUAUUAAUUAUAUAAAAACAUUUAUUACUAUCAUAAUAACCAAAUUAUUAUUAUUUAAUAUUAAAACAUUUAUUACUAUCAUAAAUACAAAUAUAUUUUUUUAUGACAAAUCAUAAAUGCAAAAAGUUGAAUAUAAUAUUUUUGGAGUAAUAUAUCACUACGCCAAAAAUGAUAUUUUAUAGCGCGUCUUGCGCUUAUUAAGUACAAGCGAUGUUGUAUGAUAUUUUAAAAAUAACGGAGGAUACAACAGCGCUUUUUUGACAAGCGCUGUAAAAAAAACGCUGUAAAAGACUUUGAUUUCACAUAAUUAAAGGACCUAUUAGAGCGCUUUUGGAAAAGCGCUGUAAAAAGGUUUUUAAAAAAAAAAUAAGGAGGUCUUUUACAGCGCUUUUGGACAAGCGCUUUAAAAAGUCUGUAAAAAAGCGCUGUAAUAGACUUUCAAAAAAUAAAAUAAGGAGGUCUUUUACGCGCUCUUUAAAAAGCACUGUAAUAGGCUUUUAAAAGUAAAAUAAGGAGGUCUUUUACAACGCUCUUUAAAAAAAGUGUUGUAAUAGGCUUUUAAAAAAUAAAAUAAGAAGGUAUUUUACAGCGCUUUUUAAAAAAAGCGCUGUAAUAGGCUUUUAAAAAGUAAAAUAAGGAGGUCUUUUACAACGCUCUUUAAAAAAAGCGCUGUAAUAGGCUUUUAAAAAGUAAAAUAANNNNNNNNNNNNNNNNNAGGUCUUUUACAGUGCUUUUUAAAAAAAGCGCUGUAAUAGGCUUUUAAAAAAUAAAAUAAGGAGGUCUUUUACAGCGCUUUUUAAAAAAAGCGCUGUAAUAGGCUUUUAAAAAAUAAAAUAUAACAGUAAAUCGCUUCAGUUUCCUCUUUAUUACAUAAACUUCACUACACUUCAGUGUCCUUCUCCUCUUCAUUAUCCUUCUCAUUGCGAACCCUAAUGUCCUACGAACCAUAUUGUUAACCAUCUCCAUUGCAAAUCAUCUCCAUAUUUGUUACUAUUCCUACGAACAUUAUUACAUACUCUUCUCAAUGAGAACCCUACUCUGUCCUACGAACCGUUCGUAUUUCUGCGCAUUUUCGUUGUUUCUUCUUAAACGAAACCGUAACCUUAUGAACUCUACGUAUUUCUUCGCACUCUUCAGGUAUUUUAUUCAUUUAUUCAUUUAUUUCUUAUAUAUAUAUAUAUAUAUAAUGUGUCUGUUAAUGCUAAUAAUCACAUUUAUUUGAUAGUGUUUUACAAGUUUUCCGAGCUCAAAUGGGUGCUACAGUGUCGAAGCAAAAAUCAAAUAAAUCACAUGGAUUCUAAUAAAGGUUUGAAAUGUAUGGCUUUAAAAUUUCAUUAACAAUCAAUCCACAAAUAUUUAUUGACUUAUAUGUUUUAUUUUAUAGUGCUCUCGUCAAACUAACAACAUAGACUGCGGAUACUGUAUAUUACGAUUUAUGAAGGAGAUUGUUGUUAUAAUCCCAGAAAGAGAUCUAAUUGAAAUAAAGGAAUGCAUAUUACAACGCUUUUUUUAAAAAGCGCCGUAAAACUAAUACAACAAGCAGCGCGUUUUUAGAAGAGAUUUACAGCGCUUUUUUUAUUUUAAAGAGCGCUGUUGUAUCUUUUUACAGCGCUGGAUACUACAGCGCUUAAUUUUUUGAAAAAGCGCUGUAAAUGGCUUAAAAAAAGCGCUGUAAAAUACCAUUUUUCGCGUAGUGUAUAAAAUGUUAAUUGAAGGGUUUAACUGAAAAAAAAAUUAAUAUUUAAUUGAAAACUGAAAUUACAUUUAUUUUAAGAUAAUUUAUUUUUAUAAUAUAACAUUCAUAGUGAGGGCGGAGUAGAGAUGCAACAUAAUCCACACCUACGGAUAUCCACCCAAACCCGCUUGAUUUGGAUAGAGAAAACAUGAUUUAUUUGGGUGCGAGUACAAAUGCGAAUUUUCCCCGAAAUUAAAAUUCGGGAGCGGAGAUAGUUUUGUGGUGGUGAUAUCCACCACGCACGCACCCGCAUUUGAACCCGCCCCGCAAGUAAUAUUGUUAUAAUUUUUAAAUUUUAUAUGCAUAUACAUAUUGAAUAUACUUAAUAUUUUUUUAAAUAUUAAAAAUUAUAAUCUUAUUUUUAAAGAAAAUAUAUUUAAUUUUAUUAUUGUCUAAUAAUAAUUAUUUUAUUAUAUUAAUUAUAAUAAAUAUGAUUUUUAAAUUUUUAUUUUAUAUAUAUGAAUGGGUGCAGGUGUAACAUCCCAAAUUUCAUAAUCAACUAUUUUAUUAAUUAAAUAAUAUUUUAAAGAAACUAAUUUGGUGUUAAAAUUACUUUAGGAUAUAUAUUGAUUAAUUUUAUAAUUAGUUGUCCUUAUAUGUGUGAAUUUCUUAUGGUUUGAUAAUCGUAUAUAUAUUUGAUUUAAUGAGUAAUAUAAAUUAUAAAUAUUAUGUUUAGUUAUUUAAUUUAUUUUCAAAAAAAAUUAUAAUUGUAUUUUAGCAAAAGUAUUUUAGAGGACAAGAUUUUGAGUGAGUUUACAUAUAGAUUUGCAUUAGAUAUUUGUGGUGAUAUUUUUGUGUGCGUUAAACUAUAUAAUAAAUAUGUGCAUAGUUAUAUUUUAAUUAUUUAAGACUAUUUACUAUUUUAUUUUUUUGUUUUAUAAAUAAUUAUCUUAAGAUAAUAAUAAUAUUGUGAUUAAUUUCUUUAUGUCUAUAUAUUUUCUAUGAUAUGAUGAUUUUAUACAUAUUUAUUAGGAUUUAGUAACAAAAUAUAAAUUAUUUUUGUUAAAUUUAAUUAUUUUAUCAUUUUAAUUAUUCUAUAAAGAUGAUAUAUGUGGUUAUUUUGUAAAAUAGUAUAAUAAUAAUUGUAGUUAAUAUUGUGGAUACGAGAGUUUUUGUUAUUAAUGUAUUUUAAAAUAGUAAUUACUUAAAUUACUUUUUAUAAAUAUUAGUUUUGAAAUAUUGGUAAUACAUUAGUAAUGAAAUUGUGUUAACAAAAAUUAGUUCUGGUAAUAGUUGAUUUUAUUUAAUAAUAAUAAUAAUAAUAAUAACAAUAAUAAUAUUAUCUCCCUUUUGAAAUAUAAUAAUUAUCGAUUUUUAAAAUAAAAAAAUUAUUUCUGUGAAUUAAUAAUAAUAAAGAGACUAAAAUUGUAAAUAAGCAUAAAUUCUUUUACAUAAACAACAUAGUAAACAACACACUAAAAAUAUACUAUAUUAUACCGGUCUUACAACCUUCGUCAAGGAAAUUUAUACUAUAUAAUUUGAUAUUACAAGAUAUAUUUUUUUUAUUCAAAAUAUUGUUUACCUCUAUAAUUAAUAUUAUUGGUUUGUUAAGGACAUUUGUUACUCCUGCCGGGUCCACCAAAGUAAAAGUGACUCCCCCACGCUUUACUCAACUCAUAUUCUAUACUAUAACAAUUUGGGGACUGUACUAGAAGUUUAGGUUCAGGCAACGAAGUUAAUCGGCGAUUAUCAUCCAGAAUCAGACAAUUUCUGAAGUAUGCAGCUUUUCUAAAACCCUCCUCAGGAAAAUGUCCACUACCCAUUUGGGUUGAAGUGUGAUAUCCUCCUCUCUUUCUAUUCACUAUUUCUCCACCAAAAUGAACUUCAUUUGCAUAAUCCUUUAAGUGGGGAACCAAAGAAGAUGGCCAAUAUCCAAUUUUGUUUCCAGCUCCAAAUUCAAGCCACCAAUUCCCAUUAUUUGGAUCCUACAAAUAAAAAACAAUCAAAGUAUAAUGGGCGUUUAAUUAAACUCUUUUGAUUUGAGACAAUGUUACUCAAAUCAUUAAAAGCAACAUGUUAACUAUGUAACAUGAGAACUGAAUUGGGUCAAAAAGAGGAAAAUAAAGGUACCAAUGUUGUGAGUGAAAUAUACAAAAUAAUAGGAUUAUGUUAAAUAAAAAACCGAAAGAACAAAAAGAAAAAAUGGUCAAGAGCUCAAAAUUUAAAUAUAUUUAAUUGUAAAAGGAAAGGAAAACGGUGAUUUUAAAGUGUUGUGAAGUAUAUGGAAGACGCACGUUAAGUUUAGUUAAUGAUUCAACCAAAUUUCAUAUACUCGAGGACCUAAUCAAUUCAUCCUUUACCUGCCAUUUAUUUUGCCUUUCCAAAAUCAAUUUUUAUGCUGUGAAAAUGUUUUAAUUACCUUUCUUUGUUUCUUCUAUAAUCUAUAAAAUAACAAAAUAAAUAACAUUUGCUUACCAUUUAUCAUAUAUUUUUCAACAUUUUCUUAUUUCGAUUAAAAUUCGUAUCGAUUCCACUUGAAUCAUGUGUUAUUCACAAAAUUUGAUAUAAUCUAUAUAAAAUUUUAGCCAAUAGAGAGAAUGUAAAAAUAUAAUAAUAUAUUCAACAUAUUGAAAGUAUUCCCUCAAAAUAAAAAAUAAAUAUUGACGGUAGCAACACUUACUUCAAUAAGACAAUAUUCUGUUUAGAAUGAAUAAAAUAUAAGCAGCAAAAGUAGUAGUUAAAAAAUUAAUGUAAUUGAUUAAGAAUUUAAUUUAAAUACGUCAAUUUUUCAAUUAUUAUUUUUAUUUAUAUUUUAUUUCAUACAUUGUAUAUUUUAUUCUAUAAUAUAACAUAAGUAAAUCAUUUUGUAAAAUAUUCCUUUCUUAAAAGUGGUUUUAUUGAAAAUUUCAUGAAAGUGAACCAAUAAACCAAUUAUGUAACAAAGUUUAACUUCCCCGUCAAUAGUAAAAAUCCUCUAUAAUUAAGGUGAAUUUGGUAAUUUCAGCUGAAAAUUACCUUCCAGAUUGAAAAGGUAAUAGAUAGUUGUGGGCCAUUGAACGUAGAAGCUGAAGGAAUUGCUGCUCCAAUUACAUGUUUGCUGCUAGUUUGAACAAAAGCUGAGCAUAGCAAAUUGUAGCACCCCGUUUGUUUAUAUGAAUCCGUCUGCAAUUAUUACUAUUAUCAUUUUCUUUUCAAUAAAGUAUUUGAAUUUGUGUCAAAUAUGUUGAUUAUGGUAAGAGAUAGGAGUAUUGCAUAGUAUUUUUCUCUUACAAUUAUUAUAAAUAUAAAAAUAUAUUUUCAUCAUAAUAAAUAAAUUUAAUUAAUUUUUAGUUUGUUGGUUGAACUAAGACAUAAAGAUAAAAGUUGUUAGCUUUUACUAAUAAUGAUAGUAACCAAGAUUUAAAAUAUAUAUUUAUUUAUAAUAAUGACUAAAGAGAGAAUAUACAUAUCAACUUCGCUUGCUUCAAUUAAUUUACUUACCGUCCAAUAAAUAAAUAAUCUCGGGCUGUUGUCACCAUAGAACCUCGGAUAGACCUACAUAAAAAUUAUUUGAAUAUAGCUUAAUUGGCUAAAAAUUAAAAUAAGAAUUAAUUACAUUGAUGGAAAUUAAAGGUAAGUGGUUGAAACCAAAUUGAAUGCAUUUAAGAAAUUUUUGAAAGACCAAUUAAAAAAUGUUGACUAAAAUACAGUACUAUUAAUGUAAUAUUUUUCGGUAAAACAAUUAAUGCAAAAUUUUAUAUCUUCAAUAAUCAUUAAAUUAUGAUGUGAAUAAAAAUGUUGACUUAAAUUCUCACUAUCUUAAAAGUUUUAUAUAAAUGAUUUAAAAUCUUUAUACUAAUAAUGUUUACCAAUAAAUAAAUAAGGAUUGUGAAAAAGUAAGAUAAAGUAAUUAAUGAAAGUAAUAACAUGCCUGCCAACCAGCUUCAAGGGUGGUUAGAUCUUCUCCAUAUGAACCAUUGACAAUCCAAAUUUGAGCCAAACUAAAUUCGUCUGGAAUUUCCACUUGUGGGGACCACACGUUUAUGGAAGCCGUUGCUCCAUAUAAUUUACCGUACACAAACCCAAUUGCAUGCUGCAAUAAGAAGAACCUUUGUUAUUUCAUUUUCAAUAUAUUUAGUAUAAGGUAUAGACAACAAUUAAGUAUAAUUCAGUACCAACAAUUUUGAAGAUCAUAUAAGAAACAUACACUCUUUUUAUAGGUGAAAAUGAAACAACAAUUUAAACAAGAACUAGAAAAUUAUGUGACCAUUUGAAAUUGAAGAAUGCCUCAGUUUCAUAUGAUAUUGCUUAAAAGAUAGAAAUUGUUUAUUAUGCUUUUAUGAUAUUGUUUUAUUUUGGUUCAUAUUUUGAGUAUAAGGAGGAUUGAUACUAUUUAUGUUCAGUUUCAUAUUGAUAAUAUAAAAUAAAAAAAGAAAAAUCAUUUGAAAUUCUCUUAUAGUCUGAAUUUAAUAAUUAUUACAAAAGUAUAUGAUGAAAAAUUGAAUUCUUAAUUACCAUGUACUUGCUUGACCAAUCUCCAUUAUCGUUUUAUGGUUAAUUAAUUGUUUGUUUAUAUAUACAUUACUUUUACCAUAAAAAAUGAAAAACAAGAAACCGAGAGAAAAAACUCUAUUUAUAUAUAUUGCUUGCAUACCUCGUGUCCAUUAUUUGCAUUGGAGUCACUUCUAAAAUUAUGUAAUUUUCUUCCAAAUGUGUCAAUAGAUUCAGCUCUUAACAAGUCUUGUUCAGUUGUUCUUCUAAUUGGAAUUGUUCCUUCGGGGCAUGAUUCACCGGACAAGGUCCACAAUUGAACGAUAUCACUCAUAUUACCUUUCUCAUAUUUAUUUAUCGGGCUUUCGGGAGGAUCCUGUAUAUAUAAGUAUUCAUGAAUAAUUCUUGAUUAUAAAGUUGAAAUAUAAAAGCUUCAUUUGCUUCAAAAAAUAUAUUUUUUUCAAUUUUUUCUUAAUUCAAUUGAAAAAUAUAAGAAAUACCAAUAUUUUAUGUCCUUUCAAUAAAGGAUGAUCAAAAGCGGGUUGUUCAUAGGAUCUAACACAAUCUAUGAUAUCACCAUCAGGACUCUGUAAAAAUAAACACAAAAUAAACACAAACGUAAAUUACAUAAACAAAAAUACAAGCAUAUAAGUUAGCUCCAUAACUUAAAUUGUUUGGAUCGAUGAAGUAAUCAAAGAAAAUUAUAAACAACUCCAAUGCUUCAAUUAAGUAAUUGCUUAUUUAAAUUUGUGUUAUUUUUAUAAUAAUAAAAAGUUUUAGGGUAAAAGUAAAAAUAUCAAUAAAAAAGGAGCUCACCAGAAAUUUUAAAAAUAGAAGAAUUUGACUUUGAAUUCUACGAAAAUUCUCUUAUAAAAUCUCUUCAUUGUCAAAUUAUUUUAUUGGGAAAUUAUAAAUUUUAAAAGUUUUGGGAUAAAAGUUUUGUUCAAUAUAAUUAAAAGCAAUCCAAAAUGAGAAUCUUAAAAAAUGGGUCAAAUUGAAAAUUCAAAAUAUUGAGGAACCAAUUUGCAAAAUAUGAAGAAAUAGGGACCAAUAUGAUAUUUAUGGACCAACAUGAUAUUUAUGGACCAAUUAGCAGUUUUUUUUUUUUAAAUAUAGAAACUAAUUAUAAAAUUUGAAAAUAAUUAGGAACUAAUGAGUAAAUUGUUCCAACAUAUAGUAAUUCUAAGGACCAAUUUAAGAUUCACAAAAGAAUUUAAAACUCAUAGUUUUUACAUGUUAUUUGAAAAUGCUUAAAUUUAAUUUUGAAAAACAUACAUGAAUUGUCUUAACAGCGGGUUUGUUGAUCUGCUUAAGACGAUUUGCUAUUGUCUCCUUCAACUGUUGAAUUUUUUUUUCUUGUAAAAAAGUUUGAUUGACUAAUUGAUGACCGUUCGUGUUUAAUGAAUAAAUAGGACAAAUCAAAUAAACAAAGAAAAUAAAAUGUAUGAGGAGGAAAAUGAUCGGAGAGCUAAAAAUCUCCAUGUUUGGUUUCUAUGCGUGUGUUUGUCCAAAGAAAUUUUUGAUUACUGUUAUAUAUAAUCACUGACUAUGAAAAUUAAAAUAAAAUGUUUAAUAUUUUUUUGACUCAAAACAUAUUUAAUAUAUUAAAAUUUUAGAAUCACUUAAUAUUUUCUUUCUAAAGUAAUAAUUAAAAAUAAAAUAUUCCAGUCAAAAAAAUCUAAUUAAUGCUUUUUAAUUAAUAACAUAUUUUUUCUUAAAUGUAGUAUUAAUAAUAUUUAUUUUAACGUAAUAUGUGAGAAUAGUUUCAUUGGAUAUGGUCAACUAGUCAAGUACCAAAUUAAUUAAGACGAGGAUUUCUUCAUUAAUUUAAUUACUCACGGUAAUAUAUGAUAUUAAAUAAAAAUAUAACUGAAAAAUUAAUUAAAAUAAUAUUUAUUUUAAAAUAAUUUAUUUUUAUUGAAAUAACAUUUUUUGUGAGACAGAUGAAUUUAAAGUCCCUUUCGAUGAAACCAGCACAUUUCUUUUUCCCGAAUAGGGCCAUAUAUUGACUGGCAAAACAACACAUGUUGGUAAUUAAAUCAAUAUAGUUAAUAAAAUUAAUGUUGUAUAUAUUAGUGCAUAGACUUGUGUCAUGGACGAGAUUAAUUUCUUUUUUUUUAGUGAGAAAAAGUUUGAAUACUUUCACCGAAUUUUUUAUAUAUUAUUUAAUAUGUACAUAGUGAUUUUAUUGAUUAUGCUUGAUGCUGAAACACUACCAAUGAUAAAUAAUAUCAUAUAAUUCAAUUGUUCGCAUUAUGAAUUAAACUAAUUCAGAAUUCUAUAUAUAUUAUUCAACUAAAAUUUAUCUAAAUUCGAAAAUAACUUGUCUUCUACCUUAAAUUGGUAUAGGAGAUGAAAACAAAUUUAAUGUAUCUAUUCAUAUGCAUUAUUCUAGAUCAUAUCAAAAACCAACUUAACUUUUAAUAUCAGAUGUUGAUUUAAAAGGUGAAGGUAUAGAAAUACCAAAUUAUUGAUUUAUUCAUAUAUGUGUAGCAACAAUAUCAAUGCAACAAUGUAGAAAUUAAGACCAAAUUAUUGAUUUAUUAAAUCGAAAAGUAACGAAGAAAUAAAGGAUACUAAUCAGUCAAAAGAAAAACUUAACAAGUUAUUAUACAAUUAAAGUAUCAUGAAAAAAUUUGAAAAUGAGUAGAGGAACACUUUGAAUCAACCAUACUUUGCAAAAUAUGUAUAAAGAAUAGCUCAUCUAAUUAGGAAGAUUUCCUGCAUAUAAGGGAUGAGUGAAUUGGCAAAAACAAAAGUUUCUCAUAAGUUUAGAUCUCCACUUUUUUUUUCUUUCAAAGUGUAAAAGACGUUGAAAGAAAAUUAAUAUAGAUAUUUCUAACUUGCAGCUUUUUAACCAAUUACAUGAGACCAAAAGUCUAGUUUCUUGUGGAUUUUAAAGAACCCUUGGAUAUCAAUGUAUUUGUAAAAAAAAUUUACUAAUGGACCACACGUAGCAAGGAAUUUAUGAGCACACCAUAUAUUUGAAUAACGGAUCUAAAGUUUUGUCCGAAUAAAUUUAGGGUUGUGAUUUAUGCAGCUAUAUUUUAUUUAAAUGGUUGUGUUUUGAUGAUUCUUCAAUUUUUAAUAGGUUACAUAUUUCUUUAGUUCUUGCAAUUAUAAUUAUUUUUUAUUUUGAUUCUUAUAAAUUUUUUUAUAUGUUUUGUAUCCCUAGAAAUAUAAUUUUAUUUUAUAAUAGCCCUUUCAUCCAAAUUCCCUUACAAAUUUAACACCAUUAAAUAUAAAUUAAAAUUAAAACAUAAUUUUUUUAAUCAAAAAAAUAAUCUCCAAUAUAACUAAAUUAUAAUAUCUUUUAAACUUAAAUUAACCCCACAUGUUUCAUUCUUCUUCUCUAAAACACCCUAAAAUUAAUCGCAAAUAUUUCAUUCUUCUCCCCCCCAAAUGGUUCAUUUUUCUUCCCUAAAAAACUAUAAUCCUACAUAAAUUAGGAUAGAAAACGUGAAAUAUAAGCUAGCGAUUGGAAAUUAGUUCAAAACGAUGAACUGAUUGUUUCCGUUAUCAAUGAAUUGAAUUCUGAUUCAUCAAUCAUCACAUCAAAUCAUUUUUCAAUUCCAACUAGCAUUCUUAAUUCGAUUUCCAAUAGUUCCGGUUCCACCAAGAAUCUGAUCAAGAAAUUAAAAAAUCAGGCCAACCAAGAAAUCCCCAAAGUUUCACCUUCAAACAAUUAUAAUAGAAGGUAAAAACUAAAAAAUUGUUGAACCAACAAUUUCAAAAGAAACCAACCGAUAUUAUCUUAAUAUCUUCCCUAUAUUUGAUAAUAUAAUAAAUAUGGCUAUCUUGCAAUUAACCUAUCAUUGUUGAUGCUCCAAACUUGAACCAAAAAUUUCAAAAGAAACCAUUUUGAAGUUCUUAAUUUUAGGUUUAAAAAUGUUAUAAUUUAAUUAUACUGGUUUAUUUUUAGGUUAAAAACAAUUAUAUUUUAAUUAUAUUUAGGUUUAACGGUGUUACAAUUUUUGUAAGGAAGUUGGAUAGAAGAACUAUUUUAAAAUAAAAUUAUAUUUGUAGGGAUGUGAACUAAACAAAAAAGUUUACGAGGACCAAAAUUAAAAACGGUUAUAAUUGCAAGGACCAAAUACCUAUUUAAACCUUUUUAAUAUUUAAAAAUGUUCUCGAAUUAGAAAAGACUUUUGAAAAAUCUCAUUUUAUCAUGCAUAAUAUUAGAUACAUGUUAUGAAUAUGUUGAAACAUCACGCGAGAUACAUCAAAAACUUUUCUUAAGUAAUUUUUAACUUAAUAAACCAACUCAUAUGUUUUCAAAUGGAUUUAUAGAUGUCAUGAAAUCAAUCCAGGAUAUGAGACAAUUAAAUCGAUUCACGUGAUCAUGUGUGAAUCGAUGCAAUUUCAAAGAGUUUGGUAAAUCAAUUUACAACUCUGUGAUGAAUCAACUUACGUAGUUCAAUUUCAAAUCUUGAGUAUUUGAAUCGACUCAUGUACUUGUGAAUCGAUAUUGAAUCAGUUUUUUUUUUUUUUAUAAUUACAAAUAAAAUAUUUUGAUUGUGUUCCAUUGUAUUUUUACUAACAACAAAUUAUAUAUCUUUUUAAAUCUUGCAUCGCAUUCAAAUGAUUAAUCCCAAAAUUCUCUACAUAACUUUUCUCUCUCUUUCGUCAUUCUAACCACAUUUUUUUCUUAUACUAAUUUGAUAGAAUAUAUUUUCUUAUUAGUUUAAUGAUAUAUAUUGUUGUGCACGACGUUAAGUGAUGGAUUCCACUAACUCAACGAAUUAUUUUUCAAUUAAUCCCUUCUAAUUAUAACCCAUGCAAUAAAAUAUUUUACCUUUCACUUAAAAUGAAAUCUUUUGCAAGUCGAGAAGAAGAAGAAGAAAAAAAAAAGAGGAAAUUAGAUUAGGGAGAGGGAGAGUCGAGAAAGAGAAAGAAUAAGAGUGGGGGAGAGGUGGGUUUAAACAUUUCCCACCAUCAAGGAUCAAGGUCAACUUGGAAAUUCCACCAUCAUCUAUUCUUAAAAUAAUCACCAAUAUAGAUAACUCUAACUCUAAAAUCUCUCUAGAAUGUGUUGUUAAUUUUAAAUUGAUUUGUAUGUUGGGAUAUGUAAAUUUCUUUAUUUCUCUUAUAAUCUUGCAAGUUAGGGUAACGUUUUGAUUCUUGUGCCCUAUAUAGGAAAUAAUGAGUAUGAAUUUAAGUAAAAUAUUUGAUGCUUCCGUGUGACUUUAUAUAUAUAUAUAUAUCUUGUUCAUAUUUUAUUUAAUGAUAGAUGCAAAAUGUGUUGGGUCAUGAGGGGGAGGCAAUGAGUUUAGAAGACUUUCGAUACAAGGAGUCAGUUCUGUUAGUAACCAUCAACUCCUAUACCUUUGUAAGCUACGAUUAUAAUCUAGAAGAUCAUCCAUUUUGGAACAAGAGCAAUCACAAAAGUGAGUUGAACACCACAUCAUAACUCAAAACCUUAAGGAAAUGGGUUUAUGGGUCCUCUAACUUAUAUAUCGCACAACUAUCAACUAUCACUUUUUUAAACAAUAUGACACAUCUAUAUCACACUUGCUACAUCACAUAACUCACCCUAAUAACCCUGUAAACACUUCUAACACACUUUUUUAAACAAUAUGAGACUUCUAACUCACACUUGUUUAAAAGUAAUAUAUUAGUAAUACAAAUUGAUAUUCUAACAUACAAAUUGAUAUAAGUAAUCAUAUUCUAACAAUACAAAUUGAAAAACAUUAGUAAUUGUUCUCAAACAAAUAUAUUCCCCCUUUUGUCAUCAAAUAAAAAGAGUUGAUUAGAAAAAGCACAACAAAGUAGAUAAGCAAAAAAAAAAAAAAAUACAAACAGAGAAAAAAAUAUAGGUGAACUAAAGAUUGAGCUUUGUUAGGCUAGCUAAGAUUAAGCCUAACGUAUUCUAAAUGUUCUCCUAAUUCUUAGUUGUUUUGUACAUAAAAGCCUUAGUUUUAGCUCUUAGUCGAUCAAAAUCUUCCUUUUAGACAAAUUGAGAAGGAUCAAACACAUGGGAAAAUCGAGUGGCAUAAUGAUCCUCAGAGGCAAAAAUUUUAGAUCCUAAAGCAACAAUAGCACGAACAUCUGACAAAGGUAUCUCAACCUUUGGAAUGAUCAUAGGAAACUGCAAUGGUGCUAAAGGAGCAACCACUAGUUAUUCCAAAUGAACAUAACUAGAGAGAGAUGGAUCUUCACUUUAUGUACCUUCUAAUGUAGUUGUCAAUAGUUUUCUAGAUCAAUUGCUAUGAGCUUUCUGAAGCUACAAGACCCAAAUAUAGAGGAUCUCAGUUUUUUGUCUGAAAUAAGAAGAGUUAUGAUAAGCUAAACGCACUUUAUACUCCAUGUUGUCCCUCAUCUAAUUAGGGAUACAAGAUAAGAUUUUGUUCCACUAAUUAAAACUUUGUUAGGAUCCAAACUCUGAGCAUUCUUAUUACGAAUCAUGGUGAUUUUGGCAGUGAGAGAAUUAAUGAAUGAAUCAUAUUUUGGGAAACCAAAGGAAAUGGAUGUAAUGACGUGGCCUAGAUCUAGAAGGAUGGAAGUGGCUAAUUCAAGUUGAGAUGGAGGUGAGGUAAGAGAAGGAUAGUCAUUAGUAAUUGUUCUCAAACAAAUAUAUUCCCCCUUUCGCGAAUUGCAGAAAAUGAUGUUGCCUCUGUUUUGCAGAAUUUCAAGCUUAAGUGUGAUUGUAUAUUGUUGAUUACUUAGCACUUGAAUUUCUUACUGAGAAUUGGGAUAAUGGCCUUCUAUUUAUAGGCUGUAGAUGUACUUGAAUGAAGGUAUAAGAGCUGUUGGAGAGACUUUGCUUUUUUGACUGAAACAUUAUUUUUAGAAUAAAAAUAAUACUUCUUUGAAAUAGCUUUUUGACUUUUAAUGGUUUAGCAUUUAAAACAUUUUUGUCCUUUCUUUGACGUUUCUUUAUUGAUCUUGGAUGGUACAUUAUCUGUCUUGAGUCUUGAGUGUAGCUAGAGAAGGUUGGAGAAGAAUUGCAGAUCAAAACAGAGAGAAACAAAGUUGUUGUCUCUGUGCAGAAAAACGGAGAAUGAUUAACGUUCUUGGUUUGUCAGUUUGAACUUUCUUGAGCUUCAAUAAUCAUUCUGGAGUUCCCGUUUUAAACGUUCUGUAUUUCCUUUGUUAUUGUCUUGUCAUAUGCCCAGAUUGAUCGAACUUUCUUGACAUUUGAUUUUUGGAGUUUGCAGACUGUCAUGAUUUUUGUCUGUCUUUGAGUCCUUUGAUCUUUGAGACCAAAUAGCCUUGAGUCUGGAUGAUUCCUACUUGUUCCUUGCCAUGUACUGAUUAGAUAUGAACAAAUUUCCAGGGCAGACUCUUUGUUAAAGAGGUAGAAAAAGUUUGAUCAACAUGCUGUGAUGAACUUUUUUGAAGCUGGAGAUCUUUAUCUGUUUUAAUGUUCUUGUUGUUGUUUUCUUUCCUUUGCUUGAUUAUGUUCUUAAUUAAAUUCACUCAAAAGCACAAUUUAAAUUAAUAUAACAUUUAGAAUCAUAAUUAAUAUUCUUAAUUAACUUUUUGUUUGUUUUCAUCAAAAUAUUAAAUUGAGAUUUUGUCUCAACAAAGCAUUCUCAAUAAUCAUGCCCUCAUCUUGAUAUUUUAUAAUGGCAGCGAUGGUUUGUUGAGUAAUUUUGAUGGGAAGCCCUAACAUCGUACUUGAAACUUCUCCAUCUUUGUUAGCAUCAGCAAAUCUCUAAAACUCCUUAAGUAGAAUGACCAAAACAACAAAUUGAUCUAGGUUAACUCAAACCAACCAACACCAACAAAAUAUUUAAUAAAAUUGAACACGUUUUUAACGAGGUUUGUGAAAUCUUUGACUAGGAGAUUAGAUUCUCACCUAGGAAUGUACAACUUCGACUAGUGUUUUUCCUUUCUAACUUGGUUCCAGAAUAGUCAGCAUCACAUAAGCUUACUAACUGUACUCAGAUGAUGACUUAUAAUACAUACAAAGAUUACUAGUACCUUUUAGUUGCCUAGAAGCAUAUGCUACCACCUUCCCAUCUUGCAUAAGUAUUCCACCUAAUCUUGAACCACACGUGUCACAAUAAACUACAAAGUGUUCACUCGGGUCAAGUAACACUAAGAUCGGUGCAAAAGUCAAUCUUUUCUUAAGCUAUUGGAAACUAUUCUCACAAUGGGUAUCCCACACAAACAAUUCCGCUUUUUGGAUCAACUUAGUUAAAGGUAAAGCCAACUUGGAGAAUCCUUCUAUGAACCUACAAUAAUAAUAUGUCAAUCCUAGGAAACUCAUAAUCUCAGUCACUGACUUAAGUACUUUCCAUUUUAAUACGCUCUCUACCUUGGCAGGAUCAACAGCUAUUCCACCUCAUGAAAUUACAUGUCCUAGGAAACUUACUUGCUUUUACCAAAAUUCACACUUAGACAACUUGCCAAAUAAUUGUUUCUCCUUAAGGGUUUGCAAGACUAUCCUUAAAUGUGCGCCAUGCUCUUCCUUAGUAUUAGAGUACACUAAGAUAUCAUCUAUAAACACAACCACAAAUAAGUCUAGGUAAGGAUGAAAUAUUUGAUUCAUGUGAUCCAUAAACAUUGUUGGUGCAUUAGUCACACCAAAAGGAUUAACCAAAUACUCAUAAUGGCCAUAAAGGGUUCUAAAGACGGUUUUUGGGACGUCAGAAGACUUCACUCGAAUUUGAUGGUAACCUUAUCUCAAGUCUAUCUUACUAAACAUGCAGGAUCCUCUCAAUUGGUCCAUAAGGUCAUCUAUCCUAGGUAGUUGGUACUUAUUCUUGAUUGUCACUUUCUUAAAUUAGCGGUAAUCCACACACAACCUCAUAAAGCCAUCCUUCUUCUUAACCAACAAUAGAGGUGCACCCCAUUGUGACACACUAGACCUUAUAAAUCGUUUAUCUAAAAGCUCUUCCAACUUCUUAUUAAGUUUAGACAAUUCUAAGGGAGACAUCCUAUACAGUGCCAUGGAUAUGGGUCCAAUACCUGGUACAAGGUCAAUGCUAAACUCAAUCUCACGCUCUAGUGAUAAACUAUUGACAUCUUCAUCGAAUAUUGCAAGGAAUUCACACACAACAGGAACUUCUCGUAUUACCGCUUUUUAUUCAAAUUCCAAUGAGGCUAGGAUCGUGUAUAAUUGGGCAUCUUCUUUCAAGAGUGCCUUCACUUGGUUGGUGGAUAUAUUGUUAGGCUUCUCCUUCUCUUCUGGCUCCAUGAAUUCAAUGGUCUUACUAAAAAAAUCUACGCGGAUACGGUUGGUAGAUAGUCAAUACCAAGAAUCAUAUCAACUUGACGCAAAGGUAAACACAUUAAGUCAACUCGGAAGUCCCUUCCACACACAUGGAUAGAAAUGGUGAGACAAACACUAAAGGUAUUAACAGAAUUACUAAUUGGGGUAUUCACAAUCAAAUCAUACUACAAACGAGACACAAGUAGUCCUAAACGUCUAACACAAUUAAGAGACACAGAAGAAUGAGUGACACCACAGUCAAAUAACAAAAAUAAAGGAAUAUCACUUAUGAGACACGUACCUUGGAUCAAGUUGUCUUUCUCAGAUGCUCCUGCACCAUUGAGGGCAAGUACUCUUCCAUUGGAUUUAGGUCGGCUAGUUUGGGAACUCUGGUUUCCAUUUUGUGGAGUCUUCUUUGGGUAAGGACAUGUGGUGCUGAUGUGGUCCUAUUAUUGACAAUUAAAAUAAGUAAUUUCAGCAUCUCUACAUUCAUAUGCCAUGUAACCUUGCUUACCACACAUGUGACAUCGGAUAGAAGUAGCUGGAUCACCAUUAUUACCACUGUUGUUGUUGGAGACUUGACUCUUGUUGUUGUUAUUCACAUUACUAACUCCUCGUCUAUUGGGGUUUCCUCUACCACCUCCAUGACUAUAACUGUUUCUAUUUCGUUUUCCGUUACCACUACUAUUUCCUUUUUCAGCUGAAAAACUGUUUUGUUGAUAAUUCAGACGACUUCCAGAUUUACUAAGAGGGAAAAAGUAAGGUUUUUCUCUAUUAUGAUGAAUAGGCCUACUGUCCUUCAUGGUUCUAGUGUUUCUUUAAUAUGCCUUUUCAGCACGACUAUCAUCAUCAUCAUAAAUACUACUCUUAUUCACUAGGGUAGGAAAGUCACAGAUCUCUUGCAUUCCAACCUGCUUCUUGAUCUCUGACCUAACUCCCAUUUCAAACUUGAUGCACUUAGACUUUUCUCCUACCUCUCCAACAUAUAGUGGAUAGUACCUGGAUAACUCCUCAAACUUAAUGGCAUACUCCGCUACUGACAUAUUCCAUUGUUUCAAUUUUCCAAAUUCUAUUUCCUUUCUAUUGUGGAUGUCUUUAAGGAAAUACUUGACUAGAACAUGUUUUUGAAUAUAACUCAAGUAAUUGCAGUCUCUACAUUAUCUAAACGUUGAUGCGUGUUAUCGCACCAAUGUUCAGCUUCUUCUGUCAACAUAAUGUUCCCAAAUGCACUUUUUGACCUUCGGGUCAUGCCACUUCUCUAAAAAAAUUCUCAACCACUUUUGAGCUCCAUCAGGAUUAUAGUGACCUUCAAACGAUGGAGGGUUAGCCUUAUGAAAUCGAUCCAUCACCAUGAACUCAUUUAUUUGCACAUUUCCUUGACCACCACUAUAGGUAGUAGCUUGAGCAACAUCCUAAGAAGCUAUUUGUGCAGCUUGAGUAAUAGCUUGCGCAUAGGCUUGUGCAGUAGCUUGAGAUUCAGCCAAAGCCUGGAGGUCCUGUAGUGUAAGUCCAACCAUGGACUCUAGAGCCUCAACAAUCGCAACGUAAUUUCUUCCACUAGCCAUCACUACCUACAUCAAUUAGAUAGGCCAAUCGAAUAUAGUGAGACACUUAUGGAGAAAGGAAAUAAAUUAGUUCUACACUACUGACAUAAUAACGACUGUAGAAAUAACACACAAAUUACAGAGCACACAACAAAACAUAGCAAACACAUAACACAUUUACGGUCUGAUUGAACUGACCAACACUGAUACCACUAAUGUGACAUGUUAAAUGAUUACAUGAUACCCUUUACCUUAAAAAAAUGUUUGAAAGUUUAUAUAUCUUUUAUUUGAAACUUUUACUCUCCUAUGUUGUUGUGCUUUGUCUCUCUCGUCUGCUUCCUCUAACUCUGUAAUGUCCAAGCAAGCGACUUCCACUUCUCUAUCUCGUUCUAUUCUCUCCAACUUAAAAUGCUAAAAACCAAUAGACAACCAAACAAGUAGAAAUAGAUCUAACCUAAGAUAGAUGAUACCAAAUUUUUUAUUUUGAAUCUCUAUUUUUGCAAUUUGUUUUCUUUUAGAUCUUUUCUAAGAUCUAACCCAUUUCAAACCAUCCUUGAACCCGCAACUUGCAACCUGUUUGACCCGAAGAUCGAUCAAAUUACAACAAAAAAAAAAUGGGUGGAAGAAGGGUUUCUAUAUUCUGACCCUUUGUCCACCACAAAACACCUUUUUUGAAACUCUCUUCAUCUCUCAAAUCCAACUUCAAACCCUUAACUUCAUCUCCAUCUUUGAGCUACUUUCAGACAUCCAUUCUCAAAACUCUCAACUAAAAACUUGCUUGCUCCAUUGUUGGAGAGGAAGUUAAAGAGCAAAAGAUUACAAUUUUAGGUAAUCUUUCUUAUUUCUCAGCCAUGAUGGGUAUAGUAAAAGAGUGAUUAUUUUCUAUGUUUAAGCUUCAAUCUUGUUUGUUUACCGCCACUAUAAUUGAAAAACUUUGGUUAAGGAGCAAAAUGAAGUUUGGAUUUUUGCUCAAGUGUUUUAUAUAAAAUGAAAUUAAGGUGGUUUGUAGUUUGAAUAACAAGAAAUUUAAUCAGACUUUCAAAUAUUUUUACAGAGACUGAGAGAAGCGUGUUAUUGUAAAAAAAUGAUUUUUGAUGUUUUUAAGUUACGUAAUAAGUUAUUUUUAAAUAAAUGAGUUUGGUUUAGAAGAUUUAUGAAAAGAGAUAAGUACUAAAAAUCUGUAGAUUAUGUGUAUGUGAAAUUUUGGACUUCAAUGAUAUUUGAUUUAUUAAUUCGUUGUGAUCAAGUGUUAAAAUUAAUGUUUAGGUAAUUAAGUCUUUGAGUUUAAAAAAAAAAAAUCGAAACUAUUGAUACCGUACUAGUUGAAAGUUGAUUUUGGACUUUGAAUAGUUAUAUCUUAGUAUUGAAAAUUUUAGAAAACAGAAUAGAAACAUAAUGUUGAUGGCAAAUUUUAAAAAAAGGUUUUCAAACAAAGUAGUGUAUAUUGAAACUUGAUUUAUUUCUGAUUGGAUUAUUCCAAACUAACUUGUGCUAGGAAAUCUUACAUUAUUUUAGAAGUUGAAAAAGUCUUCUUUGAUUUUUAUGGUGAUGAAAAUUAAAUUGGAUUUGAUUAAAAUUUUAAACUGGGUACGUUUGUUUGUCGACGGUUGUUAUGAUUUGGUUUUCCUCAAACGAGUUAGAAUUUGGUGUUUGUGUGAAUUUUUAAGAUGUUUAAAAAUAAAUGUCCUCUGUAAUGUCCAAGCAAGCGACUUCCACUUCUCUAUCUCGUUCUAUUCUCUCCAACUUAAAAUGCUAAAAACCAAUAGACAACCAAACAAGUAGAAAUAGAUCUAACCUAAGAUAGAUGAUACCAAAUUUUUUAUUUUGAAUCUCUAUUUUUGCAAUUUGUUUUCUUUUAGAUCUUUUCUAAGAUCUAACCCAUUUCAAACCAUCCUUGAACCCGCAACUUGCAACCUGUUUGACCCGAAGAUCGAUCAAAUUACAACAACAAAAAAAUGGGUGGAAGAAGGGUUUCUAUAUUCUGACCCGUUGUCCUCUUUGAUUAUAAAUGUCCUCUUUGUUACGAAUAUUUGUAGUGUUUACAUGAUCUAAAAAUGUUGAAGUUGAUGGAAAUAAUUCUUUUAAUUCAAAAGAGUUUAGUUGAUAAAACUAAUACUUUAAAAAGUGUUUUUUGGUUUUGUGAAAGAAUUUAGAGUUUUGAUUUUAAAGCUUUUUUUUUUUAAUAUUCUAAAUUGAGAAGAAAUGUGUUAAAACCUUACCAAAAUAUUUAUGCACUGAAAUAUGAUCUCAUGAGAAAUCAAGAAUAAGAGUUUGAAAAGAAAGUUUAUGAAAAAAUAAAUUAUUUUCUAGCCGGAAAGAAGUGGAUUGGAUUUUUUGAAAAAUGUUAUUUACAAAAAUUUUAAGUUAUUAAUUAAUAGCAUUUAUUUGAAAAGAAAAUGUUGGAAACGUUGAGUUUUUGCUGUUUAAAAACGUCAGUUUGAAACAAAUUAAAGUGUGUGGCUUUAUAAGAUAUAUAUAUAUAUAUAAAAGUGUGUGGCUUCUUGGAUCAUUUGUUGUUUGUUAGUGUUGUUCAAAAUCUUUGAAUUAAAAAUUUCUUGUUAUAAGUUGUCUUUAACUUAAUAGUUAAGACUUUGUUCAAAAAGUUGUAAUCUAUGACUCUGAUUUUAAAGUGGUUUAAAAUUUUGUUUGGGUAAAUUUUGACUUAUAAAAAAUAGUAUUUAUUUGUUUUUCAAAAUUUAAUAAAAAAGAAAGUAUUGAAUCUUGAGACUUUAUUUUAGUGAAUAUUACUUUUCCAUUUAAAAGUUUUGAACCACAAAUAUUUAAUCUAAUACAAGGUUAUGUAUUAAGUUAGUGAAAUAAAUAGGAAACGGAUAUUUUUAUAACAGUGGCUAAAAUGGGUAAAAUUUUGUUUGGGUUUGGAAUCUCAUUUUAACUUAAUGAAAUUUACGUGAGUAAAAGUCAAUAGGAGUGUGAUUGAUGCUAGAAUUGGUGAUUUGUAUAAUUGAUAUGGAUGUUUGUUCAUAACUACUAACAUGUGUGUUCUAUUAAGUGUUUCCAAAUUUAAAUGUUGAUUUUCUCUCUUUAUUUAUUAUAUAAUUAUUGUUAUUAGGAUUAGAAAAACAAACUUAUGCAACUUUUAUUUGAGAUUAUAUUAUAUGGUCAAACUCUUACUAAUGAGCCAACACUUCAUGGAAAAAAAAUAAAUAAAUCAAUAAGCGACCCCAACCAAAAAAUGCCAAAAAGGUAUUUUUUAUUUUUAUUUUCAAAUUAAUAUUGUUCACUUUUAUAAUACCUUUAUAAUCUCUACUUAAUAUUAUAUGUUUCAUUAAAGACAUUUGUAAUUCCUGCCAGGUCCACCAUAGUAAAAACUAUUUCGGCCUUUAUACAUACCUGCUUCUAAAUCAUAACAAUUUGGGAACGAUAUUAAGGUCUUAGGAUCAGAUAAUGGAACCAAGGUGUUAUUUAAAUCUAAAACUUGUAUAUCUCUAAAGAAUGCAGCUUUUGCAAAACCUUCAUAAGGAAAAUGUCCACUACCCAUUCUGGUCGAAGUGUGAGACCCUGUUGACCUUCUAUUAGAUAUUAUUCCUCCAAAUUGAAUUUCAUCCGCAAGAUAGUAUAACUGAGGAUGACCAAUACCCAACAACGGUUCCAUAAUCAUAAGUAAGCCACCAAUUCCUAGUUGUUGGAU